rnacentral:rRNA from 2 species
CUGAGAGGAUGACCAGCCACACUGGAACUGAGACACGGUCCAGACUCCUACGGGAGGCAGCAGUGGGGAAUAUUGCACAAUGGGCGCAAGCCUGAUGCAGCCAUGCCGCGUGUAUGAAGAAGGCCUUCGGGUUGUAAAGUACUUUCAGCGGGGAGGAAGGGAGUAAAGUUAAUACCUUUGCUCAUUGACGUUACCCGCAGAAGAAGCACCGGCUAACUCCGUGCCAGCAGCCGCGGUAAUACGGAGGGUGCAAGCGUUAAUCGGAAUUACUGGGCGUAAAGCGCACGCAGGCGGUUUGUUAAGUCAGAUGUGAAAUCCCCGGGCUCAACCUGGGAACUGCAUCUGAUACUGGCAAGCUUGAGUCUCGUAGAGGGGGGUAGAAUUCCAGGUGUAGCGGUGAAAUGCGUAGAGAUCUGGAGGAAUACCGGUGGCGAAGGCGGCCCCCUGGACGAAG